GGUGACUGGAGUGCAGCUGACUGCAGAGACAGACGGAGAGACACACCUGAGAGGAUCUCACACAGCCAGAGGAGCCCUCCAGCACCACAGCUCACGAGUACGACCCUGAUGCAGAAUUUGUGUAUGACUACCAGACUCUUCGUAUUGGAGGUCUGACCUUUGUUGCUGUCAUCAUG